CACAAGCGGUGGAGUAUGUGGUUUAAUUCGAUGCAACGCGAAGACCUUACCUGGUCUUGACAUCCCGGAGACCCUUAGGAAACUAGGGGGUGCUUCCAUCUGGAAGAAUCUGGAGACAGGUGCUGCAUGGCUGUCGUCAGCUCGUGUCGUGAGAUGUUGGGUUAAGUCCCGCAACGAGCGCAACCCUUGCCUUUAGUUGCCAGCAGUUCGGCUGGGCACUCUAAAGGGACUGCCGGUGUUAAACCGGAGGAAGGUGGGGAUGACGUCAAGUCCUCAUGGCCUUUAUGACCAGGGCUACACACGUACUACAAUGGCCGAUACAAAGGGCAGCGACACUGCGAGGUGAAGCCAAUCCCGUAAAAUCGGUCUCAGUCCGGAUUGGAGUCUGCAACUCGACUCCAUGAAGUUGGAAUCGCUAGUAAUCGUGGAUCAGCAUGCCACGGUGAAUACGUUCCCGGGCCUU
rnacentral:rRNA from 1 species